rnacentral:sRNA from 1 species
GCCGGGCACGGUGGUGCACACCUGUAAUCCCAGAUGCUCCGGAGGCUGAGGCAGGAGGAUCACAAGCUCAAAGCCAGCCUCAGCAAAAGCUAGGCACUAAACAACUCAGUGAGACCCUGUGUCUA